rnacentral:lncRNA from 1 species
UCUUUUCUUUAUAAAUUAGUCAGUCUUAGGCAUUUCUUUAUAGUAAUGCGAGAAUGGACUAAUACAGUGUCCCUAACACAGACAUCUUCUGGGGUUUCAUCUGAAAUCUCUCCUGCAGGAGUCCAGGGAACACAGAAGCCAGGCAAUUUCCAUGCCAAGGAUUCUGCGACCAGAGCUUAUACUUCGUGGUCAACAUGUAUAAGCUUGGGGAGAGAGUGGAGUGAUGCAGUAGCAGAGCUGCACAUGAGACAGGCAGAAGGAUCAGCAAGUAUCAACUCGGGGACCUGCUAGCCAAACGUGGCACAGUCGAGCACUCUCUAUUUGUUCCUUCACUUUCCAGUUCUGUGGAGCUGUCUUGCCAAUAAAUAAAAGGAGGAAGAUUAAAGGAGAGAAGAUUUAAAGAGUGUGUGAAGAGCAAUUCAAAGUCUAGCACUGUUUCUGGAAAACAAUUUCAAGUUCAAGCCCAGUGAGGCCACUGCCAUGCACAGAAGACAGACAGCACCAUCAGACUGGUGAGAUUCCUUCUUUGACUUGGGGUCUGCCCUACUGAGCAACUACCCACUGUCCAUCUCUCUGCUGAACUCCAAGCUCAUCUGUCUGACUGUCUAAUUGGACGUCUCGUAGCUUCACAUAUCCAAAGCCGAACUUCUGAUCCCCUGCUCCACUUGCUCUGUCCUUUAGUUGUUAAGGCCCCAAACCGUGAGUUCAUCCUUGACUUCUCUCUUUCUCUUACACCCCUUAGGUAUUUCCUAAUCAAUCAGGAAAUACCUUUGUCCCUUCUCUUCAAAAUGGAUCUCAUUUUCAGUACACUAUAAUCAUUUCUCAUCACCUCUUGCUUGGGUUAUUAAAAUAGCUUUCCCAUUUGAUUUCCCUGCUUCCAAAAACUUGCUUUCUUAGUGUCUAUUUCCAAUACAGCAUCAGAGGGAUUAUUUAAACACCUAAGUCACAUCACAUCAUUCCUUUGCUCAAAACCCUCCAAUGGCUCCCCAACAAGGCCUUGUGUAAUGGGGCUCCCUGCACUUUUCUGGCCUCACCUUCCGUUGCUCUCUCCCCCUCAGUUAUUCUGCUCCAGCACACUGGCCUCCUCUUUAUUCACUAAACACCCAGACCUGCUCCAACCUCAGGGCCUUUGCCCUGGUGGUUCUCCCUGUCUGGAGUACCCUUCUCCCAAAUACCCACAUGGCCUGCUCCCUUAGUCCCUUACAAGUCUGUACUCAAUUGGCACCAUCCUAAUUAGAGACAGCUACUCUAACCAACCUAUUUAAAACUGCACUCUAUUUCCCUUAUCUUGCUUUGUGUCUCCACUGCAUGUAUCUCCUCUUAACUUGCUGUCAUCUUAUUCACCAUGUGUAUUGUCUUUUUUCUCCCUACUAAAAUAUAAUCACUGUAGGGGUAAGAAAUAUGUCUGUUCUCUUCACUGCUGAAUUGCCAACACAUAGAAUAGUGUCUGGCACGUGGCAGGCACUCAUUAGAUAUUUGUCAGCUGUCUGAACACUGAACAUUGUCUAACUGACCAGACUGUCCCCCUUGCAUUGGUUAUGAGAAAGCUUUCAGUGAAGCAUGCGGCUGAUCUUUAGCGAGGAUGCAGAUUUGCAGGGUAGGUAUCAGCUUUAUUCCUGGCUUUGUUUUUGCUUUUCUUUCCCAUGGAUUUCUAUUGUCCUUUCUAAGACAAGGGAGAGGCAUAUAUUAAUACAAAUAUAUGCACAGUGUCAGUUUUAUCAUUUACAUAUCAACAGUAUCACAACUUGUUAAAUUCUGGUUACGGGCUAAUAAGACAGAACAUUUCUUCAAGUGGAUAUUAGGUCCCAGGCAUAUGAAAAGUGCUUUUCAUGCAUGACUCUGUCAAAUCCUUAUGACAAUCCAAUGAUGUAGACAUUUUUGAUAUCUUCAUUUUUAGAGAUGAGAAAAGCAGGCUUAGAACGGAUUACAUAACUUGCUUACAGAGCCACAUUUGUAAAUGACUCCAGGUCAGUCUGAUAGCAAAUUGGGUCCAAGUUUUACACAUUUUGCUUCCCUGCUUUCACUGAUGUUUGUCUUUACAUCUCCCCUUCCUCUCCAGCAUAGUGUUAAAUGAUCGAUUUUUGGACUAUUCAAGCUUUUUAUAUCCAUUAACUCCAAUUAAUUGGAUGGACUUAUCUUCCUUGGUGACUUGGUUUAUCGUGUGAGCCAUUCUGGCAGAAGUUAGACUUCAUGUAACCCCAUAAUGAAUUCCUGUCUAGUAGAUCACUCUAAUAGGCAAAACAUAUCGCAGCUACCCUCUGCCGGCUUCAGAGACUGGGGUCACUAUCAAACUGGUCCCUGGCCCACCUGCUUAAAUGCUGUGGCUCCUAACCACUCUUUGUGACUUUGCUGCAGCUACAGAUAUCAAGAACUCCAGUGGGCCAUGGUACUUCUUGGUCCAUGGCCGAGGGAUUAUGCAAAAGCUACAUCCAUGCAGGAGAUUUCCUUCAUAUUUGGAUAGUUUCAAAGAUAAGAGCAUCUUAUAAUAAAGGGGAAAGAAACUUCAGAAUGUCACAGGCAAAGUCUUAGGAAGUGAAGAUAUAAAGCCAAAAUAGGAGUAAAAUGUUCGUACUUGCCAUGAAGUUAAUUAACAUUCUUACUUGGAAAAAGUCAAGGUCAAACAUAAUUCAUCAAACAUAAUUCAGAGUUACUUGGCUUUAACGGAAGUGAUUCCUCAAGUCUCCCUUCAGGUUUUAAGACUUAUUAUGGAAAGCAUAAUAAAGUGUCCUACGUUUAUACAUCUGCUGAACCAUGUUAUGAAAUCCAGUACACUGUAGGCCCUGGGAUGGGGCAAGGAGCCAUUGUCCCUCUUUGCAGGUGAGAAACUGCAUCUCUGAGGAGCCAGUCACUUAUCCAAAGUGCAUCCUGCUUGGUGUUUCUAGCUGUUACCGUCUUCUGGCUGAGGACCAAUGCAAAACCCCAGUGGUGCCUCUUGUCAAGGCUAGCUGGUGCUCAUGCAGGUAUGACUUAGGUUUUGCAAUGAUGAAGCCAAAGCGCCUUGGAAGCAUUUUCCCUGCCCCGCUAACUAACUUCAUGCCAACUAGUCUGAAGGGUUCUACUCCACAGUUUCCAACAGUGCUUCUUAAGAUUGGAAAACAAAUGUACGGUAGAUGUUACUGCUUAGCUAUUGUCCUUUUAGACCUGUGCACUUUUUAAACCUCAUUUCAGUCUCUCACAUUGCAAAGAAGCUAGGGCAGGGCAAACACAAUAUUAGCUGAGGGGUCAGUAGACUCGAGGCUCAGUCCCGGCUCUUCCACUUGUUGGCAUGGUCUUCACCCCUCCAGACUAGCCUUUGCAUAGGAGUAAGACCUGCCUAUCCUAGCCUUUGCAUGGGAGUAAGGCCUGCCCAUCUCACAGGGACGUAAAGAAAUGAAAUAGCAAGAAGGGUGCAUUACAAAUUGCCAAGCAUUAGAAGUGUCAAAUACUGGAGAGCAACAAACAAAAAGGGAAAGAAUCAGAAACAGAAAGAGAGCAGGUGUGUGUGGUGGGGGAGCACUGCCUUCAGAAUUAAAACUAUGUUACAAGUUGGCUUCAUGCAAAAGCUCAGAAGAAGCUGUGUCCAGUCUUCUGAGGACAAAAUGAGAAUAAAUAUCAAACACAUAUGCCUUUCCCUGUGUUUUUCCUCUUUAAAAUAUACGGGUAACAAAAUUGACCCAGCUCUUAGAACAGGAGAAAGGAAGAGAAACAGAGCAGUUCUAAGAAAAGAUGAAGCAAGCAAAAUACCCCUCAUGUGUGAGUUCAGAACACUUCAAAGAUUGGAAUACAUGACAUUUUGCAAUGGUUGCAAGUGGCAUUCCUUGCAAAGUCCUGUGAAGUGGGGCUUGCUGCCUCCCCACUGUAGGAAUGUAGGUUCACAGUCAUGAGGGCCAUAUAGCAUGCUCCGAUGCCAACCAGUGCCAACAGGGCAAAGAGGAGGUAGUUCACUCUCUUCCUCUCAAGCUCUCACUCCCACUCAUUUAGAUUCAUGCUACUUUCAUUUUCAUAGUGCUUUAAUGAAUGGGCCUCACUCUGGCUGGCUCACAAGGUCUUGCUAUUCAAAGGGCACCCACAUGAAAUAUAGUUUUACUGGUCAAAGAGAAAAAAAAUUGUUCCAAGUGUUGGAAAAGGUCCAAACUUUUAAUCUACAAAUCCCUGGAGGACUUGUCACUAACAGGGCCAGCUCCUGGUUUAGAUCCAUUCUUCCAGCAACUGGCCCACUCCACUCAGCCCAGCCCUUCCUCAAGGAGCUGCUGAGACUCCCCUAACUAAAUGGAGAUACUUGGAAUGUCUUCUGCUGGCCUUCCCUGAGGAGCUCACAACACAGCCCAGCUUCAUGACAGGCGGUCAUUCUAGAAAUAGUGGGUUAGAGUCUUUUGGGAGAUAGAAGUC